UUCGCAAUGCCCGAAAGGGUGACGAAGCGACGCCGCGUGGGUGAGGAAGGCCUUCGGGUUGUAAAACCCUGUCAGGAGUUAAGAAAUGUAAGUGCGCUAAUAUCGCAUUUAUUUGACGAAGGCUCCAAAGGAAGCCACGGCUAACUCUGUGCCAGCAGCCGCGGUAAUACAGAGGUGGCAAGCGUUGUUCGGAAUUAUUGGGCGUAAAGAGCACGUAGGUGGAUUUGUAAGUCAGAUGUGAAAGCCUUCUGUUCAACGGAAGAAUUGCAUCUGAAACUACAAACCUUGAGUGUAGGAGGGGAGAAUGGAACUUCUGGUGGAGCGGUGAAAUGCGUAGAUAUCAGAAGGAACGCCGGCGGCGAAAGCGAUUCUCUGGCCUAUUACUGACACUGAGUGUGCGAAAGCUAGGGGAGCAAACGGGAUUAGAUACCCCGGUAGUCCUAGCCGUAAACGAUGGGCACUAAGUAGA
rnacentral:rRNA from 1 species